UACGGAGGGUGCAAGCGUUAUCCGGAUUCACUGGGUUUAAAGGGGGCGUAGGUGGGUUGGUAAGUCAGUGGUGAAAUCCCCGAGCUUAACUUGGGAACUGCCAUUGAUACUAUCAGUCUUGAAUACCGUGGAGGUUAGCGGAAUAUGCCAUGUAGCGGUGAAAUGCUUAGAUAUGACAUAGAAUACCAAUUGCGAAGGCAGCUCACUAAGCAAAUAUUGACGCUGAGGCACGAAAGCGUGGGGAUCAAACAGG
rnacentral:rRNA from 1 species